GUGAACCAAGCUCCUGCUCCACUAAUACAGAGACCGGACAGCCCUCAGUAAAGCUCCCCAGACCUCGUACUCCCAGACCAUCUUCUAUAGGACACCUACGAGGACGCAGUCAAACUCCUUCUCCAAAUUCCCACAAACCUUCCAGUAUCCUAGAGAGAGUGUAGAGCUGGUCCACCGUUCCACGACCAGGACAGAAACCACACUGCUGUUCUUGAAUCUGAGGUUUGACCAUCAGGCGGACUCUCCUCUCAGUACCCUGUCAUAGACUUUCCCAGGGAGGCUGAGGAGUGUGAUUCCCUAAUAGUUGUACUCUAGUAAUACAUUUUAGGGAUAAAUCCAUGACCUCCUAUCAGAAGAUACAUAUUAAAAAAAAAACAAUGUCUGGUUUGGUUACUUUAACCAGUAGGGGGCAGUGUUUGCCCACUAGACCUGCACGUUCUCACAUGUUUCCUCAGAUCAGUGGAUCUCAGCCUGCAGAGACACACCUCCCUGCAGACUUCAUCUCUUUAACUGCAUCCAGACAUAACAGACACUUUUCCUUUCCAACAUGACUUCUAGCAGACGUGGUCUCCUCAGCUUGUUGCUGUUUGUUCUCUGGAUCAAAGGUGGGACUGAUGGAAGUGAUGUCAGCCAGACCUCCAUGCUGUGGAUCAAUGAGGGUCAAGAUGCAACCAUGAACUGCAGCCACACAAAGGGUGCUACAUAUUAUCAGAUGUACUGGUACAGACAGCUGCCUGGAAAAACCAUGGAGCUGAUCGUCUUCACGUCUACAACUCAGAGGAAUGGAGAACAUGACUUUGGAGCUUUCAGCAAAGAGAAGUUCUCAGCCACCAAGACAGAAGCUGAGAGAGGAACAUUCACAGUGAAGGAGGUGCAGCCUGAAGAUAAAGGCUUGUAUUUCUGUGCUGUGAGUCAACACAGUGAUACAAACCAAUGAGAGAGCUGAACAAAAACCUCUGAGCUGAAACCAUCUGUGUUUCUUCUUUUCUUCACUUAGUCUAGUUUGUGGUUUCUGGGUUUAGAAAAACAUAAAUGCUGCCAUGUGUCUUAUUAGUUUGUGGAGACUUAGAUCAAUUUAAGAAAUAAUUUCAAUGAAACAAAAGUUCCACAGUUUAUAUUAAUAUUGAAAAAGUCUCUUUGAUUUUACUUUAUAAUAGAAUGAAGUGAAAGUUGCAUCACAAACGCUGAAAAACUGAAAAUGGAGAAUGAAAAAGGGAAAUAAAUCCAAUCAAAAGUCUGUUUUUCUAUCUGAAUCUGCUGCUCUGGAACUAAAGUUUGACCAAAAUCAGUUUGUUAAAAGACCACACCCACAUUUAAGAUCAAAUUCACAGAAAGUUACAAAUACUCUCAUAAACUUGUUAUAAUUACAUCCUCCAAUCACAGAGACAGAAAGGGUUUUAGAACGGCUGAUAGGUUCGUUUGUUUG